AGCUGCUGGGCCUAUGGAGGAGGUGCACUGUCACAGAGCCUGUCGAUUACAGAGCGAGGCGUCAGCAGGAAGCCGCUGAGAUGGAGGUUCUGCGGAAGGCCCUGGAGCCCAGUAUUGAUCAGCUGGCAGUCUCGGUGGAGGAGUUGGAGCCUGAAAUCUCUCGGAUUCUGAUCAAAACCCCGGAGGAGAUCGG